CAAACAUCGUGGCAAGUGAGGAGUGCUCUCGGGGAACCAAAGAGACCAUCCUCCAGAAGCUAGGAAUCGAACCCGAGGCUAUUUCUGGUUUUUAGGACAUCGAACCCGAACCGGGUUGCAGGAGCUAUAGUGCUCACCUUGCCAUGGUGAGUGUGAGGGACUUCUCG